GUAGGGAAUCUUCCGCAAUGGACGAAAGUCUGACGGAGCAACGCCGCGUGAGUGAUGAAGGUUUUCGGAUCGUAAAACUCUGUUGUUAGGGAAGAACAAGUAUCGUUCGAAUAGGGCGGUACCUUGACGGUACCUAACCAGAAAGCCACGGCUAACUACGUGCCAGCAGCCGCGGUAAUACGUAGGUGGCAAGCGUUGUCCGGAAUUAUUGGGCGUAAAGCGCGCGCAGGCGGUUUCUUAAGUCUGAUGUGAAAUCUUGCGGCUCAACCGCAAGCGGCCAUUGGAAACUGGGAGACUUGAGUGCAGAAGAGGAGAGUGGAAUUCCACGUGUAGCGGUGAAAUGCGUAGAGAUGUGGAGGAACACCAGUGGCGAAGGCGACUCUCUGGUCUGUAACUGACGCUGAGGCGCGAAAGCGUGGGGAGCGAACAGGAUUAGAAACCCUAGUAGUCC
rnacentral:rRNA from 1 species